UACGUAGGGUGCGAGCGUUAAUCGGAAUUACUGGGCGUAAAGCGUGCGCAGGCGGCUUUGCAAGACAGAUGUGAAAUCCCCGGGCUCAACCUGGGAACAGCAUUUGUGACUGCAAGGCUAGAGUACGGCAGAGGGGGAUGGAAUUCCGCGUGUAGCAGUGAAAUGCGUAGAUAUGCGGAGGAACACCAAUGGCGAAGGCAAUCCCCUGGGCCUGUACUGACGCUCAUGCACGAAAGCGUGGGGAGCAAACAGG
rnacentral:rRNA from 1 species